GGGAGGCGGGGGAAGGGGUGAAUUCAGCAAUGUUAAAAGCUAAACAACAGAUCUGUCUCCGGACGCUGCUGCUUCACUCAAUUGCAACUAAUAACCCAUUAAAGACAGCGCAGGGGGAACCGAAUUCGCUCCUGCAAAGCGACAUAAAUCCAGCGAAAACCCAUUAAACCACCGCCACCGCCACCAAGCCACGCAGCACUACACACCACAGCAAACAACAGGCCAUGGAUGUGCAGGAUCCCGAUCGUUAGAAGUUUGCGGAUGGGUUGCCUGGAGAUUUGGUUACAAUCAGGUUCAUUUUUUUUUUUUUUUUCCUCCUGAAACAAGUGAAGGCGAUGGUUACUGCUGUCAAUCUUGGCAAUCAAUGUGAGCGGCCAUGUCUGAACACCCGCCGUGCGGAUCCGUAUACACGUGCCGAGAAACAAGAAAACGCUUUCACUUGGAGUGUUACCCCACGUUUAGAAACCGCGUUUGGAAUUACUGUCCUUGCUUUGGCUUCAUGAAGGCUAAAGGCAGGCAGAUGUUGAGGAGGGAUGCUGACCUGCUGGGGGUCCCUGCGCAGGGAAGGGACCGCAGCCGCUCACAUCACGUCGAGGCACUUACCUGUGCACAGCUGUCAUGGCAUUUUGCGCCCUGCGUGUCACUAAAUGCGUUAAAGUAAAGCAAUAUUCAACAAGAGAGGCAACCUGUCUGUGUGCUAAGUUGUACGUACCGCAUCUUUAACCUGAGCAGCAAACCUGCAACUCCUGGAGAGUUGGCGGAACAGUCUCAAGAAGUUUUGGAUUCAAAGGGCAAGGAAUUUCACUUUAAAAGUCAUUCACCUACUUCUAAACUGCCCUCUCACCCCAGUUAAUGCCGGACAGUUAAGAGGCAUGUUUAUAAAUUCCCUCUGCGGACACUGUCCGACAAUGAAGGCUUGUUACAGGCUUGCUGAAGAUGUUCAGAGAAACUUUUGCGAAAUAAUCAACUGCAUCUGAGAGAAAGCUAAAGGGAAAGAAGUUAAAGCCUGAUUGGGAAAAAGUUUUGUUAGACUAGCUAGAAGUAAAUUACUGCACAUUUCUUCAAAAGCAAACCCAUCAGCUGAUACGAAUCCCCCUAGAACAAGAACCUCUAGCGAACUCCUCCAAAUUCAGGGGACGUUUGCAUUCUGUAACACCCAAAGCUCAAGAUCUGCCUGAAAACAAAAACUCUGAAUUCCUUACAGCGUCAUCUGCCAACAAAAUGUAUUGUCUUGGCAGAAAGAGGAUCAAGGAGAUUUUAAUUUCAUUUUAAACUGUGCAUCAUCUUGAUAGCGAAGGAAAAAGCCGCAGCAACAAUAUCCCCGCUCCACGCCCCCGCCGUUCAAAAAAAAAAAAAAAAGGGGGGGGGGGGGAAGAGAGAACUGGAAAAA